AUUGAAUUUAGAAUACAAAAAGUAUCUUGACUGGACUGGGCCUAGGCCCGAACCCAUCUCAGGCUUGAAAAUUGGGGCCUGCGCUAAGGCUAACUCAUUUUGGCCCGAAGUAGGCCCAAGUAUUAGGUUUUGGCCCGACCCUUGGUAUAGAUUUUGAGAAAUUCUUUGUACACCGCAUCCAGUGCAGAAAAAUGCACAGCCUCAUCUGAUUGAGCCACAUAGCCACUAUUUUUCAAUGUGCAUUUCAUACAUGUAGUUUC
rnacentral:lncRNA from 1 species